CUUCCUCAUUCAAUCCUAAUCAUAAAGUAUUGCCAUUAACUCUCCGUCAGGCUUUCCCACUACGUCAAUCUUAAGAUUCUGAGGAAUCGAGAUAUGAUGUUCCGUUUCUGUCAUGAUUUUUGAUCCCUCUCUCUUAAUGUUACUGCUCUUUGAUAUUCGUUUGACCCGUGAUCCUGAUGUAGUUAUUUUUUAUUUUGCAUCUCGAUUAAUUCUUAUAUAUAUCUUUGGUUAUGUUUUGGAAAUGAUCUGAUUAAUGUGUAACGUUUUUGGUUCUUAGGCUUUUCACAAUCGUAAAAUACACCAGUCGAGUUUACAUGGGUGGUCAAGGCGAAAAACCAAGUUGUAGCAGGAAUGAUGCAUCAUCUGACCCAGGAGUGAAGCCAUGGUUGAUCUUCAAAGAGUUGCAGGAAUUCAAGCCCCUACCAUUCAUCUUUCCGUUCUUGGCUGGAAAAAAGGAUGGCCAUGAAUCUGGAUAGAGGGAAGUUCCAGGAGAUGAUCAAGAAGUGCAAUACGUUUCUUUUGAUCAUGUCAAGACCAUCUAACAAAGAUCUAACUCAUUGUUCCCUUAUGAACUUCACGAGAUUGUGCAUAGUACUUUAGUACAUUUGUAGCGCAAAGUUCUUAUCAAGAAUAAUAGAAGUUUGUUUUGAUCAAAAAAGAAAAGAAAAGAAAGAAUAAUAGAAGUUUGUACGUCACUGAACACCUCUAAACCUCAAGUUGGGAAUAUGUUCAUCUGCUUAUUAUUUAAAUAAUUAUAUUUUUCUUCCGAGUUUAAUACCAAA